GAUGAACGCUGGCGGCGUGCCUAAUACAUGCAAGUCGAGCGAACGGACGAGAAGCUUGCUUCUCUGAUGUUAGCGGCGGACGGGUGAGUAACACGUGGAUAACCUACCUAUAAGACUGGGAUAACUUCGGGAAACCGGAGCUAAUACCGGAUAAUAUUUUGAACCGCAUGGUUCAAAAGUGAAAGACGGUCUUGCUGUCACUUAUAGAUGGAUCCGCGCUGCAUUAGCUAGUUGGUAAGGUAACGGCUUACCAAGGCAACGAUGCAUAGCCGACCUGAGAGGGUGUACGGCCACACUGGAACUGAGCCACGGUCCAGACUCCUACGGGCGGCAGCAGUAGGGAAUCUUCCGCGAUGGGCGAAAGCCUGACGGAGCAACGCCGCGUGAGUGAUGAAGGCCUUCGGAUCGUAAAACUCUGUUAUUAGGGAAGAACAUAUGUGUAAGUAACUGUGCACAUCUUGACGGUACCUAAUCAGAAAGCCCCGGCUAACUACGUG
rnacentral:rRNA from 1 species